GACCAGCUCUGACCAAGCACCACCCCCAAGGAGGCUGGCCUGCAGGGGCCACACCAGUCCAGCGGUCUCCUUCCGAGCCCUGGGACCGGCUAGUUGUUCAGGCUUGGCCAGCGUGGUUGGGCCGAGAGGACACGCAGUAACAGUGCCUAGAGCAGGAUGUUCUGGACAUGCAACGCAGAACACAUGAAGAUGCCUAGAGAGAAAAAUCUGUCCUUCCCACCACCUCCUCCGUUCUCAUGUGGUUCCGCUGCAGGACAGCAGAGUCUUAGGGAGCUUCAUGAUAUAAUCAUUAACAUACGGACUCAGGUGGCUUCUCCAGAGCAAGAUAAGCUAACAGACCCCCCAAGCCAUGGAAUGCCUGGCCAGAGAAGUCCAUCCAGGAGAAUCUGCCCAGUCCCGCCUGUUAAUUCCACUCCAGGAAAUCUGUUUCACAUCUCUUCCAAGUCUUGUCAAGUCAUCCUCCAAGGACUGUCUGACACUCCCGUUUAUGAGUUCUCAAAUGACCACG